rnacentral:misc_RNA from 1 species
UUGGACUACUAGGGUUUCUAAUCCUGUUCGAUACCCACGCUUUCGAGCCUCAGCGUCAAUUAUAGUUUGGUAAGCUGCCUUCGCAAUCGGUGUUCUGUGACAUAUCUAUGCAUUUCACCGCUACUUGUCACAUUCCGCCUACCUCAGCUACAUUCAAGCUCUACAGUAUCAAUGGCACUGCGAUGGUUGAGCCACCGUCUUUCACCACUGACUUAUAAAGCCGCCUACGCUCCCUUUAAACCCAAUAAAUCCGGAUAACGCUUGGAUCCUCCGUAUUACCGCGGCUGCUGGCACC